rnacentral:rRNA from 1 species
UGGGGAAUUUUGGACAAUGGGCGCAAGCCUGAUCCAGCAAUGCCGCGUGCAGGAUGAAGGCCUUCGGGUUGUAAACUGCUUUUGUACGGAGCGAAAAGGUCUGCCCUAAUACGGUGGGCUCAUGACGGUACCGUAAGAAUAAGCACCGGCUAACUACGUGCCAGCAGCCGCGGUAAUACGUAGGGUGCGAGCGUUAAUCGGAAUUACUGGGCGUAAAGCGUGCGCAGGCGGUUAUAUAAGACAGGUGUGAAAUCCCCGGGCUCAACCUGGGACCUGCAUUCGUGACUGUAUAGCUAGAGUACGGUAGAGGGGGAUGGAAUUCCGCGUGUAGCAGUGAAAUGCGUAGAUAUGCGGAGGAACACCGAUGGCGAAGGCAAUCCCCUGGACCUGUACUGACGCUCAUGCACGAAAGCGUGGGGAGCAAACA